rnacentral:rRNA from 1 species
UACGUAGGUGGCAAGCGUUAUCCGGAAUUAUUGGGCGUAAAGCGCGCGCAGGCGGUUUCUUAAGUCUGAUGUGAAAGCCCACGGCUCAACCGUGGAGGGUCAUUGGAAACUGGGGAACUUGAGUGCAGAAGAGAAAAGCGGAAUUCCACGUGUAGCGGUGAAAUGCGUAGAGAUGUGGAGGAACACCAGUGGCGAAGGCGGCUUUUUGGUCUGUAACUGACGCUGAGACGCGAAAGCGUGGGGAGCGAACCGG